CACGUAGGGGACGAGCGUUGUCCGGAUUCAUUGGGCGUAAAGCGCACGUAGGCGGAUUGCUAAGUCAGGGGUGAAAUCCUGGAGCUCAACUCCAGAACUGCCUUUGAUACUGGCGAUCUUGAGUCCGGGAGAGGUGAGUGGAACUGCGAGUGUAGAGGUGAAAUUCGUAGAUAUUCGCAAGAACACCAGUGGCGAAGGCGGCUCACUGGCCCGAUACUGACGCUGGAGGCACGAAAGCGUGGGGGAGCAAACAGG
rnacentral:rRNA from 1 species